UUGAGCUGUGAAGACAAGGGAACAGAAAACAAUGGAGAGUCAGGGCACAUUUGAGGCAAGUUCCUUACAGGCGGGGGUGGCUGAUGUGGCCUGGACCCCGGCGGGGUCACCCGAGACUUCAGAGUAAUUUGAGGAAGCGGACAACUGAAGCUGAGGCCUAAGCACAGCCACACAGGCAUUCCCCAACCCCCAAGCUCCCAGGUGACAGGCCCAAGAGCAUUUCUUUAUAUCUACUCUACCAUAGACAGGAAGUCCCCAGGGUGUCCUCCAGCUGGGUAUUUCUUCCUGGGCAACUGACAGGUGGACCUCAGGGAGGCCAUUCUGAGACAGAUUCCUCUGAGAAGCUGGGUCAGGGGCUCCUGGCAUGAGCGGAAGAAGCCCUGGGCAAGGGGCAGUGGGUGGCUGUGACUGGCUUCCAGAACCAAGACGGGAAGGAAGCCACAGCUGGGGUCCAGCGGCCCUCUUGGGAGGCUGUGUAUCUAGGAGGUGAUACCUACCAAGAGGCUCUUGGGUAAAGAACCCGUGGGGAGUUAGUCUCACAGCCUUGGUGGUGGGUGAGGCAGAGGAGAGACAGCCCAUCCCUAGGAGCCCACGAAGCCCUCUCCUGAGUUCAAGCCUUCCUGCCAGCACUGGAGUUAAAGGAUCCCACCCUCCCCAGCCUCCUAGGAUCUUGUGUUUUUAAAAGGUGUGAGGAGAGGGACCCUCUAGGAGCUACUCAGAGGGCUGCCUAGGUCUCCCCUAAGUCCACCACAGCACUCACUAGGUUUUGCAAAUGGCCGCAGCACUGAACUCACUCAAGGGCCUCUCCUGGAGCCACCACUUUGGGCUGCUUGCUCAGGCGCCCCAAAUCUAAGUCCUGCCAAAGGCUUGCCAGCUCUAUGCUCCCACUCCCAGGCUUUUUUUUUAGGGGGGGUCUCACUUCCCACCCAGCAUAGGCCCCGGUCUUGCUGGGAGUCUGCAGGUAUCCAGGGACGGUUGAAGGAAGAUUGUCAUGCCUUGGAGAGCCCCAGUUAGCCAGGUAGUGGUUACACAUGGUUUUAAUCCCAGCACUCAGAGAGACAGGUGCAUCUCUAUGAGUUCAAAGCCAGCCUGAGUCCAGGACAGCCAGGGCUACACAGAGAAACUGCAGAGAGAGAGCCUCAGCUAGAGAACAUUUAUCUGGAAAGUCUGCCUUGAAGGAAACCACUCCCCUGUGUUUGGAACCAUGUGGGGGUGCUCAGGCCUACAGUGCCCACGGGGGGUUCUCAGUAGUGACUGGGGAUGAGCAGUGUGCUGACAGAUGAUGUCAAGCCCUUUCCUCCAGACCCCUGCCGCCCACCCAAGCAGGCUCGGGGCAUCAACUGACCCUCACCUCCCUAGUGCUACGCCUGCCUUGUCCUGUCCCACCUCAGUCCAAUGGGGAUAUUUCCCAAGUCAAAGCCUUCCAGAGACCCCCUAACCUCACAGACACGUGAGGGGCAUGAUGGCAGAGCUUUGUACACAAGACCCAGGAGCCCGGGGCGCCUGAGACAGGAUGACAGCUCCGAGAGGCUGCCUUCCCCGCCUGCUUCUGUGAUUCUCUGGAGAUCCUAGCGUUAGCUCAGCCUGAGCGGUUGAUCAUCUGCCCAAUGGGGAAGGGCGCUCCCGUCACUGCGGACAGGAUGAGCAGCCCACGACUCACACAGGCCGAGCCUUUGGAAGACACGGUUUCAGAUGGCGAAUUCAGGCUAUAGUCAUUAGCCGAGGCCACCCUGCUUGGAUAGUCCUUUGGAUUUCUCACAUUCGUGUCCUCACUAGAGUGACCCCAAGAGGAAGCCCCAGGUGAAUAUACCUUAUUCUGAGGGACCGGCUUGCUGCCACUUGCAGACCCCGUGGCAGGAGCAGACAGAAACAUGCUUCGGAAGAGCCGGUGCUUGAGGC